GACGAACGCUGGCGGCGUGCCUAAUACAUGCAAGUCGAGCGGAUCUUCAUUAGCUUGCUUUUGAAGAUCAGCGGCGGACGGGUGAGUAACACGUGGGCAACCUGCCUGUAAGACUGGGAUAACUUCGGGAAACCGGAGCUAAUACCGGAUAAUCCUUUCCCUCACAUGAGGGAAAGCUGAAAGACGGUUUCGGCUGUCACUUACAGAUGGGCCCGCGGCGCAUUAGCUAGUUGGAGAGGUAACGGCUCACCAAGGCGACGAUGCGUAGCCGACCUGAGAGGGUGAUCGGCCACACUGGGACUGAGACACGGCCCAGACUCCUACGGGAGGAAGCAGUAGGGAAUCUUCCGCAAUGGACGAAAGUCUGACGGAGCAACGCCGCGUGAGCGAUGAAGGCCUUCGGGUCGUAAAGCUCUGUUGUCAGGGAAGAACAAGUAUCGGAGUAACUGCCGGUACCUUGACGGUACCUGACCAGAAAGCCACGGCUAACUACGUGCCAGCCGCCGCAGUAAAAC
rnacentral:rRNA from 1 species